rnacentral:rRNA from 1 species
UGCAGUCGAACGCUGAAGCUUGGUGCUUGCACUGGGUGGAUGAGUGGCGAACGGGUGAGUAAUACGUGAGUAACCUGCCCUUGACUCUGGGAUAAGCCUGGGAAACUGGGUCUAAUACUGGAUACGACAUGUCACCGCAUGGUGGUGUGUGGAAAGGGUUUUACUGGUUUUGGAUGGGCUCACGGCCUAUCAGCUUGUUGGUGGGGUAAUGGCUCACCAAGGCGACGACGGGUAGCCGGCCUGAGAGGGUGACCGGCCACACUGGGACUGAGACACGGCCCAGACUCCUACGGGAGGCAGCAGUGGGGAAUAUUGCACAAUGGGCGGAAGCCUGAUGCAGCGACGCCGCGUGAGGGAUGACGGCCUUCGGGUUGUAAACCUCUUUCAGCACGGAAGAAGCGAAAGUGACGGUACGUGCAGAAGAAGCGCCGGCUAACUACGUGCCAGCAGCCGCGGUAAUACGUAGGGCGCAAGCGUUGUCCGGAAUUAUUGGGCGUAAAGAGCUCGUAGGCGGUUUGUCGCGUCUGCUGUGAAAGCCCGGGGCUUAACCCCGGGUGUGCAGUGGGUACGGGCAGACUUGAGUGCAGUAGGGGAGACUGGAAUUCCUGGUGUAGCGGUGAAAUGCGCAGAUAUCAGGAGGAACACCGAUGGCGAAGGCAGGUCUCUGGGCUGUUACUGACGCUGAGGAGCGAAAGCAUGGGGAG